UUUAAUUUUAAUUUAAAUUACGACGGCAUUUAAGAGAUUAUGGUUGGAUUAGGAAAUAGUUGGUCGUAUCGAGCGUAACUUCUCGAUGAAUAUUCGAUCAUUAUGGCGAGUAUAAUCGCCGUCUGUCGUUCGUUUGUAACCCGGCGAAUUAUUAAUCAGCGAAAUGGAAACGCGGCCUGUCAGGUGAAAUAAAUGGGCCGACUUUUGUUGAAAAUAUCUUGGAGAUCGAUCCGUCAUGGAUCGUUACUAAUUGAUCCGACAUUGAUCAAGACGUGUAUAGACACUGGUCGCAUUCGAGCGACCAACUUACAAACCCGACCUGCUUGUAAACGGAGCUUCAACUGUAAACAACGAGGAAGCGAAGAAAGAAAAAAAGACGAGAAGGAAAAAUGAGAGAGGGGUGGGGAGGAAAAGAAGAGUCACGUGACCUCGGAAUUUUCCUCGAGUUUCUCGCGCGUUCACCGGCGAACAGACGACACAACGGUGAUCGUGGAAGCCCGGUACCUCUGCACGCAACGCGCGAGCGAAAGCUCGAUUCCGUAACGUCGGUACCGACGCACUCUACUGACCUGCCCCGCUCGAUGGAAACGGGUCAAGGCUACGUGCACCGACCCUAUGUAACUUUCUACGCGGCUAACCCGCCCACCUAUUAUCCUUUCGGCCAUCCAGCUGGAAGUACUCAUUCA